CUAUAUCAUCUAGAAGCAUAUUAGAGCUAAAUAAUUCAAAGCGAUAGAGUUUGGGGCCCUCCAAAAAAGAAGUUGUGACAACAAUGGGAAUAAACACUUAGCGAUACAUUAUGGGCUUCUACAGUUCGAGAUGAUGAAACACGUAGCAAAGCGAGACGACCAAAGACUAUUGAUAACAACAUGCUCUUAUUUUAACUAAACAUAGAAAACUUUUACCGAAUAUGAAAUAAUGUUCUAAUUUAAACAUCAUACUUAAAGCUGAAUCCAUAUCAUACAAAGACUACUAAUUAAUAAAAUGGGAAGAAUUUAACAUAAUAGAAUUUCGAAUAUGCGAACUUAGCAUCAAACCAAUUCAAAUAAGGUGCAAGAACAGGUUAACAUACUUCAAGUUUAUGACAGUCAACUAUGAAAUUGUCCUACUGAUCACAACUUGACUUUGACAUGCAAGAGACUAACCGAAUGAUUCACUUUAAAACAGAGACAAGAUUGAUCGGAUUUUGAAAAAAAAAAAAAAAAAACAGACCACAGUUAAACAAGCAGGCAGCUGCAACAAACAAGUUAAAACGAUAAACCUAUCUCAACCGAAUCAAAUGUGGAUCUAAAGAUAACGAAUUAAAGAAAUAGGAUGCACAUGAGUUAAAAGCUCUCACCCGUCCGAGUCUGACUCUUUCGGAAAUGCUAAAGGACAGCCCCAAAGGUAAAUUAUUUCUCAUUUUUUAAUAGAUCCUCGGCUAAAAUAAAUAAAUAAAGCACACGAGAGUAUACAAGGAACUGUAUAUUGCACAUUAGGAUGAAAUUAAGGCAGGUGAACGCAAAGAGAAGGAAGAAAAAAAAAGAUCUGAAAGAAUCGAAAAGAUAUAGGCAAAAAAGAGUAACUUAAGACUAAAUUUUGAAUCAUGUCCUAAGAGAGAAAUACUAAAACCAAUGACUACAAACAACUAAAUAAUCUUAAUCUUUUCACAUUUAGCUAUGAUCGGAAUGAGCAAAUAUGACAGAAAGAAAUUGGACCAUGGAGAGCUUAUAGUCGAGCAAAAUGAGAUCUGAUAUGCUAACAAAUAACACUAAACUACUCCAAAAAUUAGAGUGUAUACACAGAUAACACAUAUAGAGAAAAAAGAUAUUACUAGCAAAUAUUCAUUAACCAAAUCCUAACAUAUGGAGACUAAAACAAAAUUAGCACAUAAACAGAACACAAACAUAGCAAAGAGCACAUCAUGAACAGAACAACAUGGAAGCCUUGAGCAUUAAACAAAGCCAAGAAAGGAUUUACCUCUUUCCGGGCAGCGAACGGAGAAUAACGAGUCAGCAGCUACAGUCCUCCCACCACAACAAAAACUUGAAUAUGAACAAUGAGUAGAGGAUCCGGGCAGAAUCUCGGACUCACGAAUGUUGGGAAACAAUGGCAAACGGGAAAGAAGAACGACACUAGCUAUCUCAUCUCCUCUCGAGCGUACUUAGUAUAUAUUUUAUAGCUAUUUUUCGGUGCUAUUUCUCUUUCUCGGUUUAAAAUCGCCAACUAAAAAAUCUCCAAUAAUUUCUCCCAACUAAAUUUCUCUCCACCAAAAAAAUCUUACAGUGGACAAAGAGCAAUAUAUAGAAAGGAGAAUAGGGUUCCGAAAAUAAAAGAGGGAACCGAUGAAAAAUUGGGCAAAACCCAGGCCCAAAUUUGAAAUUCAAACUUCAAAUAUUUUUCACCAUUAGAGGCAAACAUACUUUUCUGAGAUCUUCAACCCCAUUCUGAAAGAGGAAAUGGGAAGCGAACAGCUUUGAUCGAUUGAGUGUACCUGCUGCUCGAUGUGGCUCAAUCUCCUGCUGGCGAGGACGACGCGGCAGCUGGAAUCACG
rnacentral:lncRNA from 1 species